rnacentral:rRNA from 1 species
GACGAACGCUGGCGGCGUGCUUAACAAAUGCAAGUCGAGCGGAGCGGCGCACGGGUGAGUAACUCGUGAGUCACUGCCCCCCUCUCUGGGAUAACAGUUGGAAACGGCUGCUAAUACCUGAUAGUGGGGGAUGACUCGCGUCGUAUCAGAUUGUUGGUGGGGUAGUGGCCUACCAAGGCCACGACGGGUAGCCGGCCUGAGAGGGAGACCGGCCACAUUGGGCUGAGAUACGGCCCGAACUCCUACGGGAGGCAGCAGUGUGGAAUAUUGCACAAUGGGGGAAACCCUGAUGCAGAAACGCCGCGUGCGGGAUGACGGCCUUCGGGUUGUAAACCGCUUUCAGCCAUGACGCGGUAGUGGCAGAAGAAGCACCGGAUAACUACGUGCCAGCAGCCGCGGUAAUUC